CACCGCCUGGGGAGUACGACCGCAAGGUUAAAACUCAAAUGAAUUGACGGGGACCCGCACAAGUAGUGGAGCAUGUGGUUUAAUUCGAAGAUACGCGCAGAACCUUACCAACACUUGACAUGUUCGUCGCGACUUUAAGAGAUUAAAGUUUUCGGUUCGGCCGGACGAAACACAGGUGCUGCUUGGCUGUCGUCAGCUCGUGUCGUGAGAUGUUGGGUUAAGUCCCGCAACGAGCGCAACCCUCACUUUUAGUUGCCAUCAUUAAGUUGGGCACUCUGAAAGAACUGCCAGUGAUAAGCUGGAGGAAGGUGGGGAUGACGUCAAGUCCUCAUGGCCCUUACGUGUUGGGCUACACACGUGCUACAAUGGCAUUUACAAUAGGAAGCAAGAUGGCGACGUCAAGCAAAUCCUAAAAAGAUGCCUCAGUUCGGAUUGUACUCUGCAACUCGAGUACAUGAAGCUGGAAUUACUAGUAAUCGCGGAUCAGCGCGCCGCGGUGAAUACGUUCCCGGGUCUUGUACACACCGCCCGUCACACCAUGGGAGUUGGUUCUACCUUAAGGCAAAGUUUAAAACCUUUGACCACGGUAUAGUCAGCGACUGGGGUGAAGUCGUAACAAGGUAGCCGUAGGGGAACCUGCGGCUGGAUUACCUCCUUUCUAAGGAUGAUUAAGGAAUUUUUCUUAAUCUAAAUAUUUAAUAGGCUAAUGUUGACCGUCCUCAUUUCUCUUCUUAAGUUAAUUUUUUUUGUGUUUCUCUUUACUGCAUAGGGGCCGGUAGCUCAGUCGGUUAGAGCACACCCUUGAUAAGGGUGGGGUCGAAAGUUCGAGUCUUUCUCGGCCCACCAUUAAUAUAUUAAGGGGGAUUAGCUCAGCUGGGAGAGCGCCUGAUUUGCAUUCAGGAGGUCAGCGGUUCGAUCCCGCUAUCCUCCACCAAGAAACACUUAGCUAUUUUAUUUGUGAAUAAUUUUAUAAUAAUAUCAAUAUCUAUAUCCGAUUGUUCGAAUAGAUGAACAAUCUAAAGAAUGUUCGAAUAGAUGAACAUUCCAACAAAAUUUGAUUCAACACAGAAUUUUUUUCUG
rnacentral:sRNA from 1 species